CCUACGAGUGGCAGCAGUGAGGAAUAUUGGUCAAUGGGCGCGAGCCUGAACCAGCCAAGUCGCGUGAGGGAGGACGGCCCUACGGGUUGUAAACCUCUUUUGCCGGGGAGCACCGGGCGUCACGUGUGGCGCCACUGAGAGUACCCGGAGAAAACGCCUCGGCUAACUCCGUGCCAUCAGCCGCGGUAAUACGGAGGAUGCGAGCGUUAUCCGGAUUUAUUGGGUUUAAAGGGAGCGUAGAUGGGUUGUUAAGUCAGUUGUGAAAGAUUGCGGCUCAACCGUAAAAUUGCAAUUGAUACUGGCAGUCGUGAGUACAGUUGAGGUAGGCGGAAUGCGUGGUGUAGCGGUGAAAUGCUUAGAUAUCACGAAGAACUCCGAUUGCGAAGGCAGCUUACUAAACUGCCACUGACAUUGAUGCUCGAAAGUGUGGGUAUCAAACAGGAUUAGAUACCCUGGUAGUC
rnacentral:rRNA from 1 species